rnacentral:lncRNA from 1 species
UGUAUUGUUUCACAGUCGGUAAACUUUUUGCUAAGGUAAAUUGCAUGCUCUUUUCGACGAGACUCGUCAUGCUGCCCCAAUACACCUCGUAGACCCCUCGAAGGCCGUCAAGUACAGAUUGACAAUUGCUCCUUCCACAGGAGACAUCGGAAUCAGAGGUUCCUGCAACUUAUCCUUUUAUUUUUUAAUGCCCCUUGGCAAUCAUUAUUUCACCUGACCGUUUAAUCUUUUUUUUUUCAACAUCUUGAAUAUAGGUUCGCACGUGGCUGUUAGGU